UGGGGAAUAUUGCACAAUGGGCGCAAGCCUGAUGCAGCGACGCCGCGUGAGGGAUGGAGGCCUUCGGGUUGUAAACCUCUUUCGCCAGUGAAGCAGGCCAUCUUCUUUGUGGGGUGGUUGACGGUAGCUGGAUAAGAAGCGCCGGCUAACUACGUGCCAGUAGCCGCGGUAAUACGUAGGGCGCGAGCGUUGUCCGGAAUUAUUGGGCGUAAAGAGCUCGUAGGCGGCUGGUCGCGUCUGUCGUGAAAUCCCCUGGCUUAACUGGGGGCUUGCGGUGGGUACUGGACGGCUUGAGUACGGUAGGGGAGACUGGAAUUCCUGGUGUAGCGGUGGAAUGCGCAGAUAUCAGGAGGAACACCGGUGGCGAAGGCGGGUCUCUGGGCCGUUACUGACGCUGAGGAGCGAAAGCGUGGGGAGCGAACAGG
rnacentral:rRNA from 1 species